ACGCUUUGUGGUUCAACUGAUUUGAAGAGCUUGCUCAGAUAUGACGAUGGACAUUGCAAAGAGUGGCGAACGGGUGAGUAACACGUGGGAAACCUACCUCUUAGCAGGGGAUAACAUUUGGAAACAGAUGCUAAUACCGUAUAACAAUGACAACCGCAUGGUUGUUAUUUAAAAGAUGGUUCUGCUAUCACUAAGAGAUGGUCCCGCGGUGCAUUAGCUAGUUGGUAAGGUAAUGGCUUACCAAGGCGAUGAUGCAUAGCCGAGUUGAGAGACUGAUCGGCCACAAUGGGACUGAGACACGGCCCAUACUCCUACGGGAGGCAGCAGUAGGGAAUCUUCCACAAUGGGCGAAAGCCUGAUGGAGCAACGCCGCGUGUGUGAUGAAGGGUUUCGGCUCGUAAAACACUGUUGUAAGAGAAGAAUGACAUUGAGAGUAACUGUUCAAUGUGUGACGGUAUCUUACCAGAAAGGAACGGCUAAAUACGUGCCAGCAGCCGCGGUAAUACGUAUGUUCCAAGCGUUAUCCGGAUUUAUUGGGCGUAAAGCGAGCGCAGACGGUUAUUUAAGUCUGAAGUGAAAGCCCUCAGCUCAACUGAGGAAUUGCUUUGGAAACUGGAUGACUUGAGUGCAGUAGAGGAAAGUGGAACUCCAUGUGUAGCGGUGAAAUGCGUAGAUAUAUGGAAGAACACCAGUGGCGAAGGCGGCUUUCUGGACUGUAACUGACGUUGAGGCUCGAAAGUGUGGGUAGCAAACAGGAUUAGAUACCCUGGUAGUCCACACCGUAAACGAUGAGUGCUAGGUGUUUGAGGGUUUCCGCCCUUAAGUGCCGCAGCUAACGCAUUAAGCACUCCGCCUGGGGAGUACGACCGCAAGGUUGAAACUCAAAGGAAUUGACGGGGACCCGCACAAGCGGUGGAGCAUGUGGUUUAAUUCGAAGCAACGCGAAGAACCUUACCAGGUCUUGACAUCCCUUGACAACUCCAGAGAUGGAGCGUUCCCUUCGGGGACAAGGUGACAGGUGGUGCAUGGUUGUCGUCAGCUCGUGUCGUGAGAUGUUGGGUUAAGUCCCGCAACGAGCGCAACCCUUAUUACUAGUUGCCAGCAUUCAGUUGGGCACUCUAGUGAGACUGCCGGUGACAAACCGGAGGAAGGUGGGGAUGACGUCAAAUCAUCAUGCCCCUUAUGACCUGGGCUACACACGUGCUACAAUGGCGUAUACAACGAGUUGCCAACCCGCGAGGGUGAGCUAAUCUCUUAAAGUACGUCUCAGUUCGGAUUGUAGGCUGCAACUCGCCUACAUGAAGUCGGAAUCGCUAGUAAUCGCGGAUCAGCACGCCGCGGUGAAUACGUUCCCGGGUCUUGUACACACCGCCCGUCACACCAUGAGAGUUUGUAACACCCAAAGCCGGUGGGGUAACCUUCGGGAGCCAGCCG
rnacentral:rRNA from 1 species